UGGGAGAAAAUGGAUUUUCUAAGUUUCCUUCUUGUUCUCCUCACAGCAGUGGCUGUGAGUAGAGCCCAGGUACAGCAGGAGCCGUCGGCAGAGACCAGCGAGGGCACCGGCAUCAACAUCACCUGCUCACACCCCAACAUCCAGUCCAACGACAACAUCCACUGGUAUCGUCAGCUCCCAGGUCGAGGACCCGCAUUCAUCGCGAGUGCCUUUAAAGGCUCCAAGGAGGUUCCGGACCCGGAGGGGUGGCUGUGCGUGUCGGCAGACCGCCGCUCCAGCGCCCUGUGGCUCGCCCGGCCCCGGCUCGGCGACGCGGCGGUGUAUUACUGCGCCGUAAACCCACGGGAAGCGAAGCCGGGGCUGCGGCCGGGCACGAACCGCUUAGG